rnacentral:rRNA from 1 species
GACGAACGCUGGCGGCGUGCUUAACACAUGCAAGUCGAACGAAGAGCGAUGGACGCUUGCUUCUAUCAAUCUUAGUGGCGAACGGGUGAGUAACGCGUAAUCAACCUGCCCUUCAGAGGGGGACAACAGUUGGAAACGACUGCUAAUACCGCAUACGAUCUAAUCUCGGCAUCGAGGAUAGAUGAAAGGUGGCCUCUACAUGUAAGCUAUCACUGAAGGAGGGGAUUGCGUCUGAUUAGCUAGUUGGAGGGGUAACGGCCCACCAAGGCGAUGAUCAGUAGCCGGUCUGAGAGGAUGAACGGCCACAUUGGGACUGAGACACGGCCCAGACUCCUACGGGAGGCAGCAGUGGGGAAUCUUCCGCAAUGGACGAAAGUCUGACGGAGCAACGCCGCGUGAGGGAUGACGGCCUUCGGGUUGUAAAGCUCUGUUAAUCGGGACGAAAGGCCUUCUUGCGAAUAGUGAGAAGGAUUGACGGUACCGGAAUAGAAAGCCACGGCUAACUACGUG